GACGAACCGUGCGAACGUUGUUCGGAAUCAUUGGGCUUAAAGGGCGCGUAGGUGGCCUUAUAAGUCAGUGGUGAAAUCUUCGAGCUUAACUCGGAAAUUGCCAUUGAUACUGUAGGGCUUGAGUACAGUUGCUGUGGGCGGAAUAUGACAUGUAGUGGUGAAAUACAUAGAGAUGUCAUAGAACACCGAUUGCGAAGGCAGCUCACAAAACUGUAACUGACACUGAGGCUCGAAAGUGCGGGGAUCAAACAGG
rnacentral:rRNA from 1 species